rnacentral:sRNA from 1 species
CCGCGGGGCGGGCGGCGGCGGCGGCGGCGGCGGCCGGGACCCAGCGGGCCAGGUGGGGCCGGCGUGGAGUGGGUGCGGGAGAUGCCGUGCGGGACUGGGGCCACCUGAGCCGCCCGCCUCGUCCCCGCCUUCUGUGGGAAGGAUGUGCGCGCGGAUGGCCGGUCGCACGGCAGCGGGCCCUCGGGGGCCCUACGGCCCCUGGCUCUGCCUCCUGGUGGCCCUCGCCCUGGACGUCGUGAGAGGGCUCCCUGACCUUGGCGUCUCCAGGGAUGGCCGCAUCCUUGCCUUCCAGAACCUUUGAGAGGAUUCCUGUCACUGCGGGAAAGGGCAGCAACUUCCCUGUGCUUCGGGGUGGGGGUCGGACUCCCUUGGCCUGGGCUAGCAGGGCUGUGGCUGCAAGGCAAAGGAUGCCACAGAAGACAGAGGGACAGUGAAACAUUCUCUGCCCUCCCCACCGAAAGAGCCGAGCGCUGGGUGAUGGGAGUCCGUGGGAGUCAGGCUAAGAGCAUCUUGUAAUUAUGGAGGCAAUGGAGUAGGAGGCGAACCUGAAGCCAGUGGCUGCCCCCAGAGAGCAGUGGUCACUUGUUACGCUUGGGGCAGGGGGCAGCGAGAGCCUCUCAGUCAUAUGCUCCUUGGUGGGGAGGGCCAGGAAGGAGGUUGAAACCAAUUCCCCCACCCCCACCCACAGUCCAGCUGGGGGGCUGAGAGGGAGCUAGCUGUGGGGUUGCUUUCAGCCACCUGC